rnacentral:rRNA from 1 species
CCUACGGGAGGCAGCAGUGAGGAAUAUUGGUCAAUGGGCGCGAGCCUGAACCAGCCAAGUCGCGUGAGGGAAGACGGCUCUACGGUUUGUAAACCUCUUUUGCCGGGGAGCAACGGGCGCCACGUGUGGCGCUACUGAGAGUCCCCGGAGACAAAGCAUCGGCUAAGUCCGGGCCAGCAGCGGCGUUAAUACGGGGGAUGCGGGCGUUAUCCGGAUUUAUGGGGUUUAGAGGGUGCGUAGUCGGAUCGUUAAUUCAGUGGGAAAAUUGUGGAGAUCAACCCCUUACAGCCAUUGAAACUGGCGCUCUUGAGUGGAAGAGAAGUAUGCGGAAUGCGUGGUGUAGCGGUGAAAUGCAUAGAUAUCACGCAGAACCCCGAUUGCGAAGGCAGCAUGCCGGCUUCCUACUGACGCUGAAGCACGAAAGCGUGGGGAUCGAACAGGAUUAGAUACCCCUGUAGUC